rnacentral:rRNA from 1 species
GACGAACGCUGGCGGCGUGCCUAACACAUGCAAGUCGAACGGAAAGGCCCUGCUUUUGUGGGGUGCUCGAGUGGCGAACGGGUGAGUAACACGUGAGUAACCUGCCCUUGACUUUGGGAUAACUUCAGGAAACUGGGGCUAAUACCGGAUAGGAGCUCCUGCUGCAUGGUGGGGGUUGGAAAGUUUCGGCGGUUGGGGAUGGACUCGCGGCUUAUCAGCUUGUUGGUGGGGUAGUGGCUUACCAAGGCUUUGACGGGUAGCCGGCCUGAGAGGGUGACCGGCCACAUUGGGACUGAGAUACGGCCCAGACUCCUACGGGAGGCAGCAGUGGAGAAUAUUGCACAAUGAGCGGAAGCCUGAUGCGGCAACGCCGUGUGCGGGAUGACGGCCUUCGGGUUGUAAACCGCUUUCGCCUGUGACGAAGCGUGAGUGACGGUAAUGGGUAAAGAAGCACCGGCUAACUACGUG